CCUACGGGUGGCAGCAGUGAGGAAUAUUGGUCAAUGGACGAGAGUCUGAACCAGCCAAGUAGCGUGAAGGAUGACUGCCCUAUGGGUUGUAAACUUCUUUUAUAGGGGAAUAAAACAGGGUAGGCAUACCCUCUUGUAUGUACCAUAUGAGUAAGGAUCGGCUAACUCCGUGCCAGCAGCCGCGGUAAUACGGAGGUUCCGAGCGUUAUCCGGCUUUAUUGGGUUUAAAGGGAGCGUAGGUGGAUUGUUAAGUCAGUUGUGAAAGUUUGCGGCUCAACCGUAAACUUGCAGUUGAAACUGGCAGUCUUUAGUACAUUAGCGUUGGGCUGAAUUCGUGGUGUAGCGGUGACAUGCUUCGAUAUCACGAAGAACUCCGAUUGCGAAGGCAGCUCACUGGACUGCACCUGACACUGAUGCUCGAUAGUGUGGGUAUCAACCAGGAUUAGAUACCCGGGUAGUC
rnacentral:rRNA from 1 species